UGCAAGUCGAGCGAACUGAUUAGAAGCUUGCUUCUAUGACGUUAGCGGCGGACGGGUGAGUAACACGUGGGCAACCUGCCUGUAAGACUGGGAUAACUUCGGGAAACCGAAGCUAAUACCGGAUAGGAUCUUCUCCUUCAUGGGAGAUGAUUGAAAGAUGGUUUCGGCUAUCACUUACAGAUGGGCCCGCGGUGCAUUAGCUAGUUGGUGAGGUAACGGCUCACCAAGGCAACGAUGCAUAGCCGACCUGAGAGGGUGAUCGGCCACACUGGGACUGAGACACGGCCCAGACUCCUACGGGAGGCAGCAGUAGGGAAUCUUCCGCAAUGGACGAAAGUCUGACGGAGCAACGCCGCGUGAGUGAUGAAGGCUUUCGGGUCGUAAAACUCUGUUGUUAGGGAAGAACAAGUACAAGAGUAACUGCUUGUACCUUGACGGUACCUAACCAGAAAGCCACGGCUAACUACGUGCCAGCAGCCGCGGUAAUACGUAGGUGGCAAGCGUUAUCCGGAAUUAUUGGGCGUAAAGCGCGCGCAGGCGGUUUCUUAAGUCUGAUGUGAAAGCCCACGGCUCAACCGUGGAGGGUCAUUGGAAACUGGGGAACUUGAGUGCAGAAGAGAAAAGCGGAAUUCCACGUGUAGCGGUGAAAUGCGUAGAGAUGUGGAGGAACACCA
rnacentral:rRNA from 2 species